rnacentral:lncRNA from 1 species
ACAAACAUAAGGACGUUUGAUCAAUGAAAAUUUGAGACAAGGUAGAAAACGUUUUUUUUUUAAAAGCAAAUGAAAAAGAACCCAUUUUGUUAUUUAAAGCGUUAUAUUGAAGACAAUGUUCAAAACCCUGGUAACAGUUUUGCUGGUUUGUUGGAAAGCACAUGAACUGUUUGGAGCCGACAUUGGUUUGGGACUUGGAUUUGGAAAAAGUUCUCAACCCUAUUCGGACGCAUUAAAUAUUCUUAAAAGCCAAGGUGUUCGUAAAAUUAAAACAUGGUCAAUUAAUUCUGCUUGGCUUUAUCAAGUUGAAGCUGUGUACGGAAAGAAUAACGUAGAAGUUACGGUUGCUAUUCCCAAUUCCGACUUAAGGAAAAUGUACAAUGACCAAAAAUACAUAAAAUGGGUUCUUCAAGAACUUAAAAGAUAUCAAGGAAUAAUAAAAUUGGUUGCUAUUGGAAAUGAGCCAUUUCAUGAAGAAAAUCGUGCUCUAGCAAUGCCGCAUCUCCUUAGUGCUUUUAACAGCAUGGUAAAACUUCUUAAUGAAAAUGGACUGCAAGAACAUAUGAAGGUGACAAUCCCAUUUAGUGCUGUUGUUUUAACCAACACUUAUCCUAUUGACAGCACAGUAUUUCAUCCAGAUAUAAUUGAAACAAUGAAAGAAGUAACUGCUAUAAUGAAAAACACUGGAUCAGUAUUCAGCAUAAAUAUCUACACCUAUUUUGCUUAUAUUGGCGACAACAAAAUUUCUCUAAACUUUGCGCUCGGAAAAGAAAAUUCGCUCUUUGAAGCAAUGCUAUCUGGAUGUCGUGUUGCACUUAACAAGAUUGGAGCAAACUUAGUGCCUAUCAUUGUUGGAGAAACAGGGUGGCCAUCAAAUGGAGGACCUAAAGGUACAACUAUCGAAAAUGCUAGGGUAUACACUCAACACAUUUUGGACUUUGCAAAGAGAAGUGAUUUGGCCAAAACUAUUUACAUAUUUGAAGCUUUUGACGAAAGUGAAAAAAACGGCUUAGAAACUGAAAGAAAUUUUGGCAUUGGUUACGAAAAUCGAAAGUUUAAAUUUGACUUUAACUUGGAUGACAAGAAUGUACAAAGUCCGUGCACAAAGUGGGGGUGGAAAUUUUACGAUUUUUAUGAUAUCAUUGAAAAUGAUAUUGGAAGGAAAUACUUUGAAAAUCGAAAUGAUUGCCAACAGUAUUGCAGAAAUAUGAAAGGUUGUAGAGGUUAUUCAUGGUUUAAUAACUACUGUUACUUUAAAAGUGGCGCACAAACCUUUAAGCCAAACAUAAACGUGUAUUCCGCUAUGAUAUGUUAAAAACCAAAUUUAUAUUCUUUAACAGAAAAUUUAUUUAAAAUGUAGUGUAAGAAAAAGUAGUAUAAAAUUUAU